AGAACGAACGCUGGCGGCAUGCCUAACACAUGCAAGUCGAACGCGUGUAGCAAUACACGAGUGGCGGACGGGUGAGUAACGCGUGGGAACCUGCCCAAUGGUAGGGAAUAACUGCGGGAAACUGCAGCUAAUACCCUAUGCUCCCUACGGGGAAAAGAUUUAUCGCCAUUGGAGGGGCCCGCGUCGGAUUAGCUAGUUGGCGGGGUAACGGCCCACCAAGGCUACGAUCCGUAGCUGGUCUGAGAGGAUGAUCAGCCACACUGGGACUGAGAUACGGCCCAGACUCCUACGGGAGGCAGCAGUGGGGAAUAUUGGACAAUGGGGGAAACCCUGAUCCAGCAAUGCCGCGUGAGUGAAGAAGGCCUUAGGGUUGUAAAGCUCUUUCGGCGGGGACGAUGGUGACGGUACCCGCAGAAGAAGCCCCGGCUAACUUCGUGCCAGCAGCCGCGGUAAUACGAAGGGGGCUAGCGUUGUUCGGAAUCACUGGGCGUAAAGGGCGCGUAGGCGGCGCGACAAGUCAGGCGUGAAAGCCCCGGGCUCAACCCGGGAAUUGCGCUUGAUACUGUCGUGCUUGAGGCCGGGAGAGGAUGGCGGAAUUCCCAGUGUAGAGGUGAAAUUCGUAGAUAUUGGGAAGAACACCGGUGGCGAAGGCGGCCAUCUGGACCGGUUCUGACGCUGAGGCGCGAAAGCGUGGGGAGCAAACAGGAUUAGAUACCCUGGUAGUCCACGCCGUAAACGAUGAGUGCUAGACGUCGGGGGGUUCACCCUCCGGUGUCGCAGCUAACGCUUUAAGCACUCC
rnacentral:rRNA from 1 species